rnacentral:rRNA from 1 species
UACAGAGGGGGCAAGCGUUAUUCGGAAUUAUUGGGCGUAAAGGGCGCGUAGGCGGCUUUGCAAGUGACGGGUGAAAUCCCUCGGCUUAACCGAGGAACUGCCUGUCAGACUGCAUUGCUAGAGUAUGGGAGAGGGAAGUGGAAUUUCCGGUGUAGCGGUGAAAUGCGUAGAUAUCGGAAGGAACAUCAGUGGCGAAAGCGACUUCCUGGACCAAUACUGACGCUCAUGUGCGAAAGCGUGGGGAGCAAACAGG